GCGGGGUGGGGUGGGGGGAUCCAUAAGCAGGAGGAUGAUGGAUAGUUAAUUAAAUUUCAUGAAUCUGCACCUUUUUCCUUAAAAUCACAUCUAUUUUUUAAUAUGUUUGAACCAACAUGUUCUCUAAAAUAAAUGCAACAAAAAUGAGACGCAUAUUUUUCUUAUUUUUGUUUUUAAUAAUCAUUUGAAUAUACUGAUUUAAAUUUUAAAUAUACUAUUUGAAAAUUUUCCACAUGAAGUACUCAGUUAACUCGCCGGAAGUGUUGAAUUUAGUAUUUCAAUACAUUGAAUAGAGUAGAUCAACAUUUCAAAUCUACUAGUUCA
rnacentral:lncRNA from 1 species